rnacentral:rRNA from 1 species
UACGAAGGGGGCUAGCGUUGCUCGGAAUCACUGGGCGUAAAGGGUACGUAGGCGGGUUGUUAAGUCAGGGGUGAAAUCCUGGAGCUCAACUCCAGAACUGCCUUUGAUACUGGAGAUCUUGAGUUCGGGAGAGGUGAGUGGAACUGCGAGUGUAGAGGUGAAAUUCGUAGAUAUUCGCAAGAACACCAGUGGCGAAGGCGGCUCACUGGCCCGAUACUGACGCUGAGGCACGAAAGCGUGGGGAGCAAACAGG